rnacentral:rRNA from 1 species
UACGGAGGGAGCUAGCGUUGUUCGGAAAUACUGGGCGUAAAGCGCACGUAGGCGGCGCAGCAAGUCAGGGGUGAAAUCCCGGGGCUCAACCCCGGAACUGCCUCUGAAACUGCAGUGCUAGAAUCUUGGAGAGGUGAGUGGAAUUCCGAGUGUAGAGGUGAAAUUCGUAGAUAUUCGGAAGAACACCAGUGGCGAAGGCGACUCACUGGACAUGUAUUGACGCUGAGGUACGAAAGCGUGGGGAGCAAACAGG